rnacentral:rRNA from 1 species
GACGAACGCUGGCGGCGUGCCUAAUACAUGCAAGUCGAACGAGAGCAACCGGUGCUUGCACUGGUCAAUCUAGUGGCGAACGGGUGAGUAACACGUGGGUAACCUGCCCAUCAGAGGGGGAUAACAUCCGGAAACGGAUGCUAAAACCGCAUAGGUCUUCGAACCGCAUGGUUUGAAGAGGAAAAGAGGCGCAAGCUUCUGCUGAUGGAUGGACCCGCGGUGCAUUAGCUAGUUGGUGAGGUAACGGCUCACCAAGGCCGUGAUGCAUAGCCGACCUGAGAGGGUGAUCGGCCACAUUGGGACUGAGACACGGCCCAAACUCCUACGGGAGGCAGCAGUAGGGAAUCUUCCGCAAUGGACGCAAGUCUGACGGAGCAACGCCGCGUGAGUGAAGAAGGUUUUCGGAUCGUAAAACUCUGUUGUUAGAGAAGAACAAGUGCUAGAGUAACUGUUAGCGCCUUGACGGUAUCUAAACAGAAAGCCACGGCUAACUACGUG